AAAUUGAAGAGUUUGAUCAUGGCUCAGAUUGAACGCUGGCGGCAGGCCUAACACAUGCAAGUCGAACGGUAACAGGAAGCAGCUUGCUGCUUUGCUGACGAGUGGCGGACGGGUGAGUAAUGUCUGGGAAACUGCCUGAUGGAGGGGGAUAACUCCUGGAAACGGUGGCUAAUACCGCAUAACGUCGCAAGACCAAAGAGGGGG
rnacentral:rRNA from 1 species